rnacentral:sRNA from 1 species
GGCUUGCUCGGCGGAGCAAGAUGGCGGACAUCUCCCUGGACGAACUCAUCAGGAAGCGCGGGGCGGCGGCGAAAGGACGCCCAGUAGAUGGUGUCUGCCUUCCUUAGAGACACUCUGUGUUAAUCAUUGAGCCUCUCCAAACCUGCUUCUCCCACUGUAAAGUGGGCAUAGCUUAAUGCCAGACCGGGAGUUGGAGGUGUCCGAUCUCGAGUUGGGAUCCAGCAAGGCCUUCUCAGCCAGUCAACACGCACAGCCACCUUCCAACAGAGAUUUGAUGCCCGGCAGAAGAUUGGCCUCUCAGAUGCCCGGCUCAAACUGGGAGUCAAGGAUGCCCGGGAGAAGCUUUUGCAGAAAGAUGCCCGAUUUCGAAUCAAAGGGAAAGUGCAGGAUGCCAGAGAGAUGUUGAACUCUCGCAAGCAGCAGACCACGGUGCCCCAGAAGCCCCGCCAGGUUGCUGAUGCCCGGGAGAAGAUCAGCUUGAAGAGGAGUUCCCCUGCUGCCUUCAUAAACCCACCCAUUGGGACAGUGACCCCUGCUCUGAAGCUCACCAAAACCAUCCAGGU